AUUGAACGCUGGCGGCAUGCUUUACACAUGCAAGUCGAACGAGUGGCGGACGGGUGAGUAAUGUAUCGGAACCUGCCCGAUGGAGGGGGAUAACUACUGGAAACGGUAGCUAAUACCGCAUACUAUCGGAUGUGCCCAGAUGGGAUUAGCUAGUAGGUGGGGUAAAGGCUCACCUAGGCGACGAUCCCUAGCUGGUCUGAGAGGAUGACCAGCCACACUGGAACUGAGACACGGCCCAGACUCCUACGGGAGGCAGCAGUGGGGAAUAUUGCACAAUGGGCGCAAGCCUGAUACAGCCAUGCCGCGUGUAUGAAGAAGGCCUUCGGGUUGUAAAGUACUUUCAGCGGGGAAGCGUUACCCGCAGAAGAAGCACCGGCUAACUCCGUGCCAGCAGCCGCGGUAAUAC
rnacentral:rRNA from 1 species